CCAAGUUUGCGUGUUAUGAUCGAAAUUA
rnacentral:sRNA from 1 species